rnacentral:rRNA from 1 species
UGGGGAAUAUUGCACAAUGGAGGGAACUCUGAUGCAGCGACGCCGCGUGAACGAAGAAGGCUUUCGAGUCGUAAAGUUCUUUUAUAUGGGAAGAUAAUGACGGUACCAUAAGAAAAAGCCCCGGCUAACUACGUGCCAGCAGCCGCGGUAAUACGUAGGGGGCAAGCGUUGUCCGGAAUCACUGGGCGUAAAGGGUUCGCAGGCGGAAAUGCAAGUCAGGUGUAAAAGGCAGUAGCUUAACUACUGUAAGCAUUUGAAACUGCAUAUCUUGAGAAGAGUAGAGGUAAGUGGAAUUUUUAGUGUAGCGGUGAAAUGCGUAGAUAUUAAAAAGAAUACCGGUGGCGAAGGCGACUUACUGGGCUCAUUCUGACGCUGAGGAACGAAAGCGUGGGUAGCAAACAGG